rnacentral:rRNA from 1 species
AUGGUGGCCUUAUCAUCAGGGAUAUGGCCACCAGACAAACCAUCCACGAUGUUCGCGUGCGGGGCAGGCCACGUCGACCCCAGCCGCGCCCUUGACCCAGGCCUCGUGUACAACGCAUGCAACGACAACUAUGUCACCUUCGUGUGCGCGCUCGGCUACACCUCCGAGCAGAUGGCUGUCUUCACGAGAGACGGCUCGUCGACCAACUGCUCGGGUUCCUUCUAUGUGGGAGACCACAACUACCCAUCCUUCAUGGCGGUGUUCACCUCGCGCAACGAGACCAUCACGCAACACCGCAUGGUGCGCAACGUCGGCAACAACGUGGAUGUGACGUAUCGAGCCACGGUCACGAGCCCCACCGGCAUGCGCGUGGACGUGAAGCCGCGGAAGCUACAGUUCAGCAUGACGCACAACACACAGGAGUACCAGGUCACCUUCGCUAUCCGGGCCAAGGGUAGCAUCAAGGAGUACACGUUUGGGUCGAUCGCGUGGAGCGACGGCAAGCACACUGUGACGAGCCCCAUCGCCAUCACCUGGCGGCCGCCAGUGAGCGAAGUCGCAGCGGUGUGA